CAACAGGGAUUGCCCUAGUAACGGCGAGUGAAGCGGCAACAGCUCAAAUUUGAAAUCUGGCCUCGGCCCGAGUUGUAAUUUGCAGAGGAUGCUUUUGGUGCGGUGCCUUCCGAGUUCCCUGGAACGGGACGCCACAGAGGGUGAGAGCCCCGUAUGGUCGGACACCAAUCCUGUGUAAAGCUCCUUCGACGAGUCGAGUAGUUUGGGAAUGCUGCUCUAAAUGGGAGGUAAAUCUCUUCUAAAGCUAAAUACCGGCCAGAGACCGAUAGCGCACAAGUAGAGUGAUCGAAAGAUGAAAAGCACCUUGAAAAGGGGGUUAAACAGUACGUGAAAUUGUUGAAAGGGAAGCACUUGUGACCAGACUUGGGCCGGGCGGCUCAUCAGGGGUUCUCCCCUGUGCAUUCCGCCCGGUACAGGCCAGCAUCGGUUCUUACCGGGGGAUAAGAACGGCAGGAACGUGGCUCCCUCUCGGGGGAGUGUUAUAGCCUGCCGUACGAUACCCUGGCGGGGACCGAGGUUCGCGCUUCCGCAAGGAUGCUGGCGUAAUGGUUACUAGUGACCCGUCUUGAAACACGGACCAAGGAGUCGUCCAUUAGAGCGAGCGUUUGGGUGUAAAACCCGCACGCGUAAUGAAAGUGAAAUUAGGUGAGAGCUUCGGCGCAUCAUCGACCGAUCCUGAUGUUCUCGGAUGGAUUUGAGUAAGAGUUUUAACGGACGGACCCGAAAGACAGUGAACUAUGCUUGUAUAGGGUGAAGCCAGAGGAAACUCUGGUGGAGGCUCGCAGCGGUUCUGACGUGCAAAUCGAUCGUCAAAUAUGAGCAUGGGGGCGAAAGACUAAUCGAA
rnacentral:rRNA from 1 species